ensembl:lncRNA
AUUUUUGGUCACAUGACAGAGGCGGCUGUAUGAGAGGUAAUUCUUUCCCAUUGGCCUAAUGAGCACAAUGAGGUAAUGUAAGGAGAUGUGAUCCUGAUUGCAGCAGUUUAUCCGGUGCUUUCCAGCGCCGAGGCUCAGGCGGCCUGCGCACGUCAGCUCGGAGGUCAAGAGGUUAUUCGCCUUUAAAUUGAUGAGUCAGAAAGAAAAUGAAUCGACACUCGAUUUCACGCACAUCACGGUGGUAAACGGACUUUCGGUGAAAUCAAGGAGCGCUUCCGGGACGAAUGAAAAGAGCUGGGCCCACAGCAGGAGGAAGCGGGUGGAAGGAGCCGCUGAGUGAUGAAUCCUCUAACCUUGGACUAUCACGGUCACACAGCGGUAACGAGGACUUGUUUUUCUCUGCAAAACAAAGCGCUCUUCCUGUUUGGAACGUGAGUCCUCCAUGUUCUGGGGCUGAAACACGUGUCGGGGGAACACGGUGGAAGCAGAUGAGCAGAAGAAUGUACUGGGACCCGGAGACAGAGACAGUCAUCUACAGUUUGCAGAGAAGCCACAAAUAGUUGAUUCCUAUCUGCAGGAAAAAUUGGAGGCCAAACUUGCAUCCAAAAGCAGUCUCCCUGCAGUACCGCACGCUGCAUAUAGGGGGCAGAGCGGCUCCAGGCACAGAGCCUCCACCGUUAAACAUCUUAUUCAGCUAAAAACUCCCAAAAGAAGAGUUGCCGUUAUUACCACCAGCCUGGUAGUUAAGUAUCUAUCACCAGUCAGCAAUGAGGGAGAAUCCCUUCUAGUUCUUUACACUAUCAGCGGUUUAACACAAUGUUUUGCC